GGCUUGGCUGGCGGUAACGGAGCAGAUUCUGCUUUUGUGGAGGAACGAGAAGUUGCUAUACCCAACGCCACAGCUAUCUCAAACCCUAAUGAUUCGGAUGUGGGGGCUGAUAACAUGCCCAAAUCCAAAUCGUAUGCUGAUAUCACGAUGAACAGGCCACCGAGACGUCCCGACCUACCUGCUCAUCGGUUUCACUCAUUACGUCCCACCAAAGAGGGAGAGCAGUUCUCCUUAAAAGUUCCACAGCACCUAUAUGCGCA
rnacentral:lncRNA from 1 species